rnacentral:rRNA from 1 species
CCUACGGGAGGCAGCAGUGGGGAAUAUUGCACAAUGGGGGGAACCCUGAUGCAGCGACGCCGCGUGAGUGAUGGAGUACUUCGGUACGUAAAGCUCUAUCAGCAGGGAAGAAAAUGACGGUACCUGACUAAGAAGCCCCGGCGAACUACGUGCCAGACGCCGCGGUACUACGUAGGGGGCAAGCUUUAUCCGGAUUUACUGGGUGUAAAGGGAGCGUAGAGGGCUGGGCAGGUCCGAGGUGAACGCCUGGGGCUCAACCCGUGAACUGCCAUGGAAACUGUAAAGCUGGAGUGCGGGAGGGGUAGGCGGAAUUCGUGGUGUAGCGGUGAAAUGCGUAGAUAUCAGGAGGAACACCGAUGGCGAAGGCGGCCUGCUGGACCGUGACUGACGUUGAGGCUCGAAAGCGUGGGGAGCAAACAGGAUUAGAUACCCCAGUAGUC